rnacentral:rRNA from 1 species
CUUUCUUUGCUGGCGACCGGCGCACGGGUGAGUAACACGUAUCCAACCUGCCCUUUACUCGGGGAUAGCCUUUCGAAAGAAAGAUUAAUACCCGAUAGUAUAAUGAUUCCGCAUGGUUUCAUUAUUAAAGGAUUCCGGUAAAGGAUGGGGAUGCGUUCCAUUAGGUUGUUGGUGAGGUAACGGCUCACCAAGCCUUCGAUGGACAGGGGUUCUGAGAGGAAGGUCCCCCACAUUGGAACUGAGACACGGUCCAA